AUGCUCGUCCGCACCCUCAUCGCCCGCCUCCGCCCCCGCCUCGCCCCGUCGCUCGCCGGCCUCGGCGGCUGCGCGUCGGCGGUCGCCUCCGCCGCCGCCACCGACAUCGUCGUCGACGAGGACGCGCCGCGGCCCCUCGGGUCGCCCGUGCCGGUCGGGGUCGGGGCCGCCGCCGCCGCCAUCGCGGCCACCGUGCCCACCGUCCUGCAGCCGCGCGUGCUCAUCUACGACGGCGUCUGCCACCUCUGCCACCGCGGAGUGAAGUGGGUGUUCAGGACGGACAAGCACGCCAAGAUCAGGUUCUGCUGCCUGCAGUCCAAGGCCGCGGAGCCGUACCUGAGGCUGGUGGGCAUGGACCGGGAGGACGUGCUGCGCCGCGUUCUCUUCAUCGAGGGGCCUGAGGCCUACUACGAGGGCUCCACUGCUGCGCUGAAAGUUGCAUCAUACCUGCCUCUUCCCUACUCGGUGCUGAGCUCCCUGCUGAUCAUCCCCGUCCCACUGAAGACGCAGCCUACGAUUACAUUGCAAGGAACCGGUACGACUGGUUCGGCAAAGAUGACGAGUGUCUGGUGA
rnacentral:rRNA from 1 species